rnacentral:rRNA from 1 species
GGAGGCAGCACUGUGGAAUAUUGUGCACAAGGGGAAAACGCGAGACACAAACACCGCGUGAGCGAGGAAAGCGCUCUGGUGUUAUAAAUCUCUUUGAUGGAGAAAAAAAUGCCUAGUUAUAAUACGGUGCGGUUGACGGUACCCUCAGAGGAAGCACCGGCUAAAUCUGUGCCAGCAGCCGCGGUAAUACGGAGGGUGCGAGCGUUUUUCGGAAUUAUUGGGCGUAAAGAGCGUGUAGGCGGUUUUUUCAAUCUGAUGUGAAAACCCCCGGGUCAACCCGGGAAAUGCGCUUGAAACUGGCAGACUUGAGUAUGGGAGAGGGGAGGGGAAUUUCCAGUGUAGGGCUGAAAUCUGUAGAUAUUUGGAGGAACACCGGUGGGGAAGGCGGCUUCCCGGGCCGAUACAGACGCUGAGACGCGAAAGAGUGGGGAGCAAACACGAUUAGAUACCCCGGUAGUGCACGCCCUAAACGAUGAGUCAUUGGUGUUGCGGGUAUUGCCCCCUCAGUGCCGCAGCUAACGCGUAAGAGACC